rnacentral:rRNA from 1 species
GACGAACGCUGGCGGCGUGCUUAAUACAUGCAAGUCGAACGGAAAGGCCCUGCUUGCAGGGUACUCGAGUGGCGAACGGGUGAGUAACACGUGGGUGAUCUGCCCUGCACUUCGGGAUAAGCCUGGGAAACUGGGUCUAAUACCGGAUAGGAGCCAUUUUUAGUGUGAUGGUUGGAAAGUUUUUUCGGUGUAGGAUGAGCUCGCGGCCUAUCAGCUUGUUGGUGGGGUAAUGGCCUACCAAGGCGGCGACGGGUAGCCGGCCUGAGAGGGUGGACGGCCACAUUGGGACUGAGAUACGGCCCAGACUCCUACGGGAGGCAGCAGUGGGGAAUAUUGCACAAUGGGCGCAAGCCUGAUGCAGCGACGCCGCGUGGGGGAUGACGGCCUUCGGGUUGUAAACUCCUUUCGCUAGGGACGAAGCUUUUUGUGACGGUACCUAGAUAAGAAGCACCGGCUAACUACGUG